CCUACGGGUGGCAGCAGUGGGGAAUAUUGGACAAUGGGCGAAACCCUGAUCCAGCGACGCCGCGUGAGUGAAGAAGUAUUUCGGUAUGUAAAGCUCUAUUAGCAGGGAAGAAAAUGACGGUACCUGACUAAGAAGCUCUGGCCAAUUACGUGACAGCAGCCGCGGGAAUACGAAGGGUGCCACCGUUAUCCGGAUUGACUGGGUGUAAAGGGAGCGUAGACGGUUUUGCAAGGCUGAUGUGAAAGAUUGGGGCUCAACCCCAAGACUGCAUUGGAUACUGUAAAGCUGGAGUACAGGAGAGGUAAGCGGAAUUCCUAGUGUAGCGGUGAAAUGCGUAGAUAUUAGGAAGAACACCAAUGGCGAAGGCAGCUUACUGGACUGUCACUGACGUUGAGGCUCGAAAGCGUGGGGAGCAAACAGGAUUAGAUACCCUGGUAGUC
rnacentral:rRNA from 1 species